UAAAGGCAGGUUGUGGGUAGCUAGAGAGGCAGUCUGAAUAAAGGCAGGUUGUGGGUAGCUAGAGAGGUAGUCUGAAUAAAGGCAGGUUGUGGAGAGGUA